CAGAAAAUAGUAUGAUAUUAGUACAUAAAUUUUGGAGAUUUAAAGAGAUUUUUUCUUUUCUGA
rnacentral:tRNA from 1 species